CUAACAAGGUUAAUCAGAGAUGCCAUAAGGCACAAUUAUUCAUCAAAGUAAAAUUUCUAGAUUUAUCUUUGUAUUCUCUGCCAAAUGACAAGAGAGUCCCACAGCCUGAAACUGCUGUGGGGCCCACUCUUGCUUUGAGCUCCUUCUACAACUUGGAACUUUUUAGGUCUCCUGACAAAUGGAUCAUGUGUCAGAAAAUGUUGGAUGCUGUCUCUAAUUUUCAAAGAGGUCCUCUAAAUGCUUUGGAUUUUUAAAAGAGUGAAACUACAAAUCCUUUUGGCUUCCAAGCUAGGGGAGAAGGAGGGUGCCUGGAAGAGGGAAGAUAUGACGUAACCUGACAAAGAAGAUAGAGUGAUCAAAUCUAUGAUAAUGGCUAAAAGGAAUUAGAGGAAGAAGGAAGAUUGGAAAAUAUAUUCUCUCAGAGGAGGAGGAAGAAGAGCAAGCCACCAAAUGAAAAGCAAACUUUUAAAGUUGAAGACAACAUGGUCAAUGCCUUCCUUCAGAGAGGAUCUGCCUAACAGAAGAGUAUGCUCUGCCCCUUCCCAUACUGGAGUGAUCAAGACCAAAGACUGAAAAACAGGUUACAAUUCCAGCCCCUUACCUCAAGGAGAAAACAGCUCUAUUGUGCAAUUCCUGAUCCAGUGUUACCUCAUGGGAUCAGAUUGAAGCUGGUGUGUGGGUGCAAACACAUGCUUGUUGGAUUUUUUCUCCUGCUCUAUGCAACUUUUCUUUUCUUGAGAGCACUUCCCCAAUAAAUAACUUGAACACAAA